rnacentral:misc_RNA from 1 species
GAUGAAGAACGCAGCGAAAUGCGAAAAGUAAUGUGAAUUGCAGAAUUCAGUGAACCAUCGAAUCUUUGAACGCACAUUGCGCCCGCUGGAACUCCGGCGGGCACGCCUGUCCGAGCGUCAUUUCAACCCUCAGGCCCCCCUUCGCGGGCGGGCCUGGUGUUGGGGCCCGGCCGCUACCCUGCGGCCGUCCCCUAAAUUCAGUGGCAGCCUCGCCGUGAUCCCUUGCGUAGUAAUGCACCUCGCACCGGAGAGCGCCGUGGCCACGCCGUAAAACCCCCAAUUUUCAAUGGUUGACCUCGGAUCAGGUGGGAAUACCCGCUGAACUUAAGCAUAUCAAUAAGCGGAGGA